rnacentral:rRNA from 1 species
CUACGGAAUAGCUCCGGGAAACUGGAAUUAAUACCGUAUACGCCCUCCGGGGGAAAGAUUUAUCGGUGAAAGAUCGGUCCGCGUUAGAUUAGAUAGUUGGUGGGGUAAUGGCCUACCAAGUCUACGAUCUAUAGCUGGUCUGAGAGGAUGAUCAGCCACACUGGGACUGAGACACGGCCCAGACUCCUACGGGAGGCAGCAGUGGGGAAUCUUGCACAAUGGGCGAAAGCCUGAUGCAGCCAUGCCGCGUGAAUGAUGAAGGCCUUAGGGUUGUAAAAUUCUUUCGCUAGGGACGAUAAUGACGGUACCUAGUAAAGAAGCCCCGGCUAACUUCGUGCCAGCAGCCGCGGUAAUACGAAGGGGGCUAGCGUUGUUCGGAAUUACCGGGCGUAAAGCGUGCGUAGGCGGACUAUCAAGUUGGAUGUGAAAUCCCAGGGCUCAACUCUGGAACUGCAUUCAAAACUGGUAGUCUAGAGGCCAGGAGAGGUCAGUGGAAUACCGAGUGUAGAGGUGAAAUUCGUAGAUAUUCGGUGGAACACCAGUGGCGAAG